GAUGAACGCUGGCGGCGUGCCUAAUACAUGCAAGUCGAGCGAACAGACGAGGAGCUUGCUCCUCUGACGUUAGCGGCGGACGGGUGAGUAACACGUGGAUAACCUACCUAUAAGACUGGGAUAACUUCGGGAAACCGGAGCUAAUACCGGAUAAUAUAUUGAACCGCAUGGUUCAAUAGUGAAAGACGGUUUUGCUGUCACUUAUAGAUGGAUCCGCGCCGCAUUAGCUAGUUGGUAAGGUAACGGCUUACCAAGGCGACGAUGCGUAGCCGACCUGAGAGGGUGAUCGGCCACACUGGAACUGAGACACGGUCCAGACUCCUACGGGAGGCAGCAGUAGGGAAUCUUCCGCAAUGGGCGAAAGCCUGACGGAGCAACGCCGCGUGAGUGAUGAAGGCCUUCGGAUCGUAAAACUCUGUUAUUAGGGAAGAACAAAUGUGUAAGUAACUAUGCACGUCUUGACGGUACCUAAUCAGAAAGCCACGGCUAACUACGUG
rnacentral:rRNA from 1 species